AUCAAGGUUAGUUGAGGAUAGAGGUUGAAGCAUCCAGUGUAAAUUGACAAGCAGCUGUGGCAAAAUUUUGACAGUUCGGUAAGAGGUUGUUUAUGUUCUCAGACCUACGGCAUGUGGAUGUGGACUCGUGUAGAAACAAACAUUGUAAAUCUGUGUCGCGCAAUAGAGUUGUGAAAAAUCACUAAAUUUGUACAAAGCAUAUCGUUUAUAUUGAUCUAAGUACAUCACACGGCUUUCUAAAAAGUGUGCAUCAUGUCAACCUGCGCUGCAUCCUUUUGCCAACACAGCCGCUACAUAGUGAAAAAAAUGGGUCUGGAUGUAAUUUUUCAUAAAUUUCCAACAGACCCAACGCUGUUACGCAAAUGGGUAGAAUUUUGUCAACGAGAGGAAGCUUGGGUGCCAUCGAUAAACAGCAUUUUAUGUUCAGCACAUUUCAACAAAACUGACUACCAGCUAAUCAAUUCGCCUUCGAAGGCUAAUAGAAAAAUUUUAAAAAAGCUUAAGCCGUCUGGUAAGUUUUCAUGUAAUGUCCCACACUAAUCUAUACUAAUAUAAGCAUACAUUUGAUAAAGUUACUAAAUUUGAAGGGUUCAUACAUGUAGCUGCUGUUUCUUCGACGUUUCGCCCAACGUCGAUGUUUUACUCCGAAUCGAGUUCAUGUUUUCCUUUGUAGACCAUAAGGAUACUCCGACUUUUAAGUAUUGAACGAGUUAUUAGGAACGCAAUGAUAAGCAACCAGAAAGUAAAUAAUCAAGUUCAUUAUUAAAACCAGGACUAAUUAUCGUGAACGAUUCGCAAAGACUAAUAUGAUCUGCAUACAUCAUCUACAUCAGUGGUCUCCAACCUGUGGUCCGUUGCGUUAACAGACGUGGUCCACGAAAGAAUUAUUUUUGAAAAAGAACAGCUUAAUACUAUGGAUUAUAGUACACAAUCAUUAUAAAAUUUUCAACAAGCAUAUCUAAAAUGAGAUUUAAUCGUAUUUUUGAUCAAAAACAUUAAGUAAAGUUAAAAAAAGUAUGCACUCAUUAGAUGUGAGCCGCGGCAAAUGUAUUUUCAAGCCAAGUGGUCCGCGAUCCUAAAAAGGUUGGAGAGCACUGAUCUACAUCAUUGCACACAUCUUGCUUUCUCAAACUUCCUUCUCAAAUUGUGCCAUUAACCCUUACCGUUUUAAAUUUUGUUUGCUUCGUUGUUCCCAGUUGCUUCAUUAGAAUGUGCGCAGCAUAUAUUCUUACAGGUCAUCCACCAAAUCCGAAGUUUUGUUUUACUUUAUGUGAUUUUAGUACUAUUUUCAGUUCCAACAUCCGUUCAACGCAGGUUUUAUAGGAAAGAGCUUCUUUUGAAAAUCCUGCGAUUGAUUUGUUCGUAAAAUCCUACCGUGUAUGCUUCCGCCGUGAAUCGCUCCGGUGCGAUACUUUUCGAUGUUCAUAUAGAUCUGCACAUACAUUCAUUUAUUUUUGGUAAUCGAUGGUUUGUCCGCCAGUUCACCAUCGAAUG